rnacentral:rRNA from 1 species
CUAAGAGCAUAUGGUGGAUGCCUUGGCAGUAGGAGGCGAUGAAGGACGUAGGAGCCUGCGAAAAGCCUCGGUGAGCGGGCAAGCACGCGAUGAACCGGGGAUAUCCGAAUGGGGAAACCCGACACGGCAAUACCGUGUCAUUCAACUCUUCGGAGUUGAAAGCCAACUCAGGGAACUGAAACAUCUAAGUACCUGAAGGAAAGGAAAUCAAAAGAGACUCCGUAAGUAGCGGCGAGCGAACGCGGAAUAGCCCAAACCGUCCCAGGUUUCUGGGGCGGGGUUGUAGGACUCACAUAACGGUACAAUGGAUGCUAGUGGAAGCACCUGGAAAGGUGGAGCACAGAGGGUGAUACUCCCGUACACGAAAGCAGAAGUUGGCCAGUGAUGUUCCUGAGUACCCUCGGACACGUGAAACCCGGGGGGAAUCUGGGGGGACCAUCCUCCAAGGCUAAGUACUACCUACUGACCGAUAGUGAACUAGUACCGUGAGGGAAAGGUGAAAAGAACCCCGAGAGGGGAGUGAAAUAGCACCUGAAACCGUAUGCUUACAAACAGUGGGAGCCCUUCGGGGUCACCGCGUACCUUUUGCAUAAUGAGCCAGCGAGUUGUGAUUCGUAGCAAGGUUAAGCCGUCAGGUGUAGCCGCAGGGAAACCGAGUCUUAAUAGGGCGAUAGUUACGGGUUGCAGACCCGAAUCCAAGUGAUCUACCCAUGGCCAGGGUGAAGCGUUGGUAACACUUCGUGGAGGCCCGAACACACCGAUGUUGAAAAAUCGGGUGAUGAGCUGUGGGUCGGAGUGAAAGGCUAAUCAAACUUGGGAAUAGCUGGUUCUCCCCGAAAGGCAUUUACGUGCCGCGUCAUAUAGCGCUGCCGGGGGUAGAGCUCUGAAAGGGCUAGGGGGCUUCGCCGCCUACCAAACCCUAUUAAACUCCGAAUACCGGCAAGUGACGUAUGGCAGUGAGGCUGCGGGAGAUAAGUUUCGUGGCCAAAAGGGAAAGAGCCCAGACUCUCAGCUAAGGCCCCUAAAUCCAUGCUAAGUGGCUAAGGAUGUAGGGGAGCACAGACAACCAGGAGGUUGGCUUAGAAGCAGCCACCCUUUAAAGAAAGCGUAAUAGCUCACUGGUCAAGUUCUUCUGCGCCGUAAAUAUAACGGGGCUAAGCAUGGUGCCGAAGCUAGAGAUUCAUAGUUUACUAUGAGUGGUAGGGGAGCGUUCCAACGACACUGAAGCAGGAGCGUGAGCGACUGUGGAGUUUUUGGAAGUGAGAAUGCUGGCGUGAGUAGCGAUAAAGCGGGUGAAAAACCCGCUCGCCGGAAGCCCAAGGUUUCCUGUCCAAGGAUCAUCCGGGCAGGGUAAGUCGGCCCCUAAGGUGUAGCGGAAGCGCGAAGCCGAUGGGAAUCAGGUUAAUAUUCCUGAACCGCCAACCAUGAGCAGUGCGGGGACGAAGUAGGGUAGGUGAGCCUGUUAUUGGAUUCAGGUUCAAGCCUGUAGGCGGCAUGUGUAGGAAAAAAACGCACGUGCAACGCCGAGAGGUGAUGUCGAAGGCCUCCGGGCCGAAGUCAUUGAUCCCACACUUCCUAGAAAAGCCGCGGGCUGCAUUGACUGGUUGGAGACCGUACCGCAAACCGACUCAGGUGGGCAGGUGGAGAACACUAAGGCGCUCGAGAGAACUCUGGUUAAGGAAUUAGGCAAAUUGACACCGUAACUUCGGAAUAAGGUGUGCCAUCGGUAGGUGAAAGGACUUGCUCCUCGAGCUGAAGGUGGUUGCAACAAAGCGGCGGUAGCGACUGUUUACUAAAAACACAGGACUCUGCGAAAGCGCAAGCUGACGUAUAGGGUCUGACGCCUGCCCGGUGCUGGAAGGUUAAGAGGAGUCGUUAGUUCCUUCGGGAACGAAGCGGCGAAUUGAAGCCCCAGUAAACGGCGGCCGUAACUAUAACGGUCCUAAGGUAGCGAAAUUCCUUGUCGGGUAAGUUCCGACCUGCACGAAUGGCGUAACGACUUCCGCGCUGUCUCGACCAGAGACUCGGCGAAAUCGACAUGGGGGUGAAGAUGCCCUCUACCCGCGGCCAGACGGAAAGACCCUGUGAACCUUUACUCCAACUUGGCAGUGAUAUUCGGUUCAGCUUGUGUAGGAUAGGUGGGAGACUAUGAAACCGGCGCGCUAGUGUCGGUGGAGUCACCCUUGAAAUACCACCCUGGUUGUUCUGGAUAUCUAACCCCUUCGGGGGGACACUGCCUGGCGGGGAGUUUGACUGGGGCGGUCGCCUCCUAAAGAGUAACGGAGGCGCGCAAAGGUUCUCUCAGCCUGAUUGGAAACCAGGCGUAGAGUGCAAUGGCAUAAGAGAGCUUGACUGCAAGACUGACGGGUCAAGCAGGUGGGAAACCAGGUCAUAGUGAUCCGGCAGUUCCGUAUGGAAGGGCUGUCGCUCAACGGAUAAAAGGUACUCCGGGGAUAACAGGCUUAUCGCGCCCAAGAGUUCAUAUCGACGGCGCGGUUUGGCACCUCGAUGUCGGCUCAUCGCAUCCUGGGGGUGGAGCAGCUCCCAAGGGUAUGGCUGUUCGCCAUUUAAAGCGGUACGCGAGCUGGGUUUAGAACGUCGUGAGACAGUUCGGUCCCUAUCUGCCGUGGGCGUAGGAAGGUUGAGAGGAGCUGUCCUUAGUACGAGAGGACCGGGAUGGACACACCUCUGGUGUUCCAGUUGUCACGCCAGUGGCAUUGCUGGGUAGCUACGUGUGGAAGGGAUAACCGCUGAAAGCAUCUAAGCGGGAAGCCUCCCUCAAGAUAAGCCUUCCCUGAAGGACCCAAGAAGACUACUUGGUUGAUAGGCGGGAUGUGUAAGCGCAGCAAUGUGCUCAGCUAACCCGUACUAAUUGUCCGUUCGGCUUUAUC